CCCUUAGAUGUUCUGGGCCGCACGCGUGCUACACUGAGUGGAUCAGCGGGUCAGGUUGCGCGAAAGCGUUUCCUAAUCUUUAAAUCCGCUCGUGAUGGGGAUUGACGGUUGCAAUUUUCUGUCAUGAACGAGGAAUACCUUGUAAGCGCGGGUCAUCAUCCCGCGCUGAAUACGUCCCUGCCCUUUGUACACACCGCCCGUCGCUCCUACCGAUUGAAGUUUUCGGUGAGUUGACAGGAGGAUUUUUUUGAAACUGGUUCGCCAGUGGAUUUUAGAUCCAAAGGCCAACGAAUCGAUGGCUUUAGAGGAAGGAGAAGUCGUAACA
rnacentral:rRNA from 1 species